rnacentral:lncRNA from 7 species
GAAAGAGCGGUGAGGCGGUGGCGCAGGCUGCCCAAGGAGGGCGUGGAGUCACCAUCGUUGGAGGUGUUCAAGAGCCACGUGGAUGUGGCACUGAGGAAGGAAAACAGCUCAUCUCUUGACAUGAGUGCAAUAGAGCAUUCCAGUUCUUGGUACCUCCAUGGCCUUCAAGUUGCUUCAUUCCUGCUUAACUACCAGUUCAACUCUGCCUGUUUCUGGCAGACUACUUUACCUCUUGACACAGGUCCAAAGGUGAUGGCAUCCUCAAGGUGUAACCCAGUGGUGUUGUCUAAUGCAGCUAGGUGUAUGGCCAACACAAGGCUCACCAUUUCACUUGAGAAACACGUUCAGAAAAAGAGGAAGAGGAGGAAGUGGUGUUGAGUUUGUCUUAACUCCAGAUCAAGCUCUGAUGGCAAGGGUUUAACCAAGCUUGAAAAUGGCAACCUGACCCCUGGAAUCCCCUUCAGCAGGCAGUGACACAGGAGAAAGCAAGGACGUGAAGGUGCAGCCCCAGUAGCAGUGCACAAGGAAGUAAUGGGACUGUGGUGGUAGUGGAAGAUACUCCCACAGCUGAGAAUAUGCUGCUUUCAGCCAUCAGGAUCACCACUACCGCCACAGACAGUUCAGAGAAGAAAAUGCAGACAAGCCAUUUGCUACUGAUUCCACCCAUCUUCUCAUUCAGUGGAAUGGUCUGAUGAGAAAGGAAGUGCACAAGCUCCACCUAAAAGACCCAGCAUGUGGCUGUAGCCUCACCAAGCCCUAUUGUUGACCCACAGACAUUCUCUCCUUGGUCCCCCUUUGAGGACAGUGGCAUCAACCCCUAGAGUGUGUCAUGGUGCUACUUGGCAGAGCCCAUAUCUGCAGCCAGGAUAUAUCCCCAUCCUGCAUCUGUGGCCUCCAGAUUGUCAAUUCACCCCAUCAAAAAUAUACAUAUGGAAAUCAAAGGCCACAGCCAAAGGUUCUUACCUUGUCUCUCAAAGAGGCAAAGAAGUACAGUUUUCUCAGUGGUGCUGAAGAAAUGUUACCAGACCUGGGGAAGAAAGGGAAUUUGGUUGUUAGAACAUCUUUGUCACUUUCAGUAUAUGGGGAAUUUUUAAAUCUUACUCCUCAUCUCAUAUUAUUAUGUCUUAUUCUCCACCUUAUCUAUUU